GGAUAGAAGAAGGGGCACCUUUCAAUAACCCCUUCCUACCGAACUGUGGGGAGAAGUACCACCAAUCCUUCACCAUGGGAUGACGCUUGAAGGUGUAGAAGUAUCUAAACAAGGAAAGGGUGGGCUGGACUUUGACUACAUGACAAAGAGAGAGGAACCCUAUCAAAAACCUAAAGGAGUUCGGUGCAACCGAAGCCAGAGA
rnacentral:lncRNA from 1 species